UACAGGGGGUGCAAACGUUGCUCGGAAUUACUGGGCGUAAAGUGUGCGCAGGCGGCCGCGCAAGUCGAGUGUGAAAUCCCCCGGGCUUAACCUGGGAACUGCGCUUGUUACUGGCAAGCUAGAGUGUGGCAGAGGGGGGGUGGAAUUCCAGGUGUAGCAGUGAAAUGCGUAGAUAUCUGGAGGAACACCGAUGGCGAAGGCAGCCCCCUGGGCUAACACUGACGCUCAUGCAC
rnacentral:rRNA from 1 species